UACGGAGGAUCCAAGCGUUAUCCGGAUUUAUUGGGUUUAAAGGGUGCGUAGGCGGAAUAGUAAGUCAGUGGUGAAAGCCUGUCGCUUAACGACAGAACUGCCAUUGAUACUGCUAAUCUUGAGUAUAAUUGAAGUGGGCGGAAUGUGUCGUGUAGCGGUGAAAUGCUUAGAUAUGUCACAGAACACCGAUAGCGAAGGCAGCUCACUAGGUCUGGAUUGACGCUCAGGGACGGAAGCGUGGGGAGCAAACAGG
rnacentral:rRNA from 1 species